ACCAGACUCCUACGGGAGGCAGCAGUGGGGGAUAUUGCACAAUGGGGGGAACCCUGAUGCAGCGACGCCGCGUGGGUGAAGAAGCGCCUCGGCGCGUAAAGCCCUGUCAGCAGGGAAGAAAAUGACGGUACCUGAAGAAGAAGCCCCGGCUAACUACGUGCCAGCAGCCGCGGUAAUACGUAGGGGGCAAGCGUUAUCCGGAUUUACUGGGUGUAAAGGGGGCGCAGACGGCAGCGCAAGCCAGGAGUGAAAGCCCGGGGCCCAACCCCGGGACUGCUCUUGGAACUGCGUGGCUGGAGUGCAGGAGGGGCAGGCGGAAUUCCUGGUGUAGCGGUGAAAUGCGUAGAUAUCAGGAGGAACACCGGUGGCGAAGGCGGCCUGCUGGGCUCUAACUGACGCUGAGGCACGAAAGCGUGGGUAGCAAACAGGAUUAGAUACCCCAGUAUAC
rnacentral:rRNA from 1 species